rnacentral:rRNA from 1 species
UGUAAGCGUAUACCAAAGUUGUUGCAGUUAAAACGCUCGUAGUCGGAAUUUGGCAGUUCCGGAAGUGUGCACGUCGUGUGCGCACUUUGCGGGGACUGCUUUUGUGGUCUUGUGUAGGAUGAGGCACUUUCAUUAGUGAACGUCCUCACGCAACCACUCUUUACUGUGAGAAAAUCAGAGUGCUCAAAGCAGGCAUUUGCCGUGAAUGUAUUAGCAUGGAAUAAUAGAAUAGGACUCGGUUCUAUUUUGUUGGUUUGUUGGGACUGAGUAAUGAUUAAGAGGGACAGUUGGGGGCAUUUGUAUUCCGGCGCUAGAGGUGAAAUUCUUAGAUUGCCGGAAGACAAACUGCUGCGAAAGCGUCUGCCAAGGAUGUUUUCAUUGA